CCUACGGGGGGCAGCAGUGAGGAAUAUUGGUCAAUGGCCGAGAGGCUGAACCAGCCAAGUCGCGUGAGGGAUGAAGGUUCUAUGGAUCGUAAACCUCUUUUAUAAGGGAAUAAAGUGCGGGACGUGUCCCGUUUUGUAUGUACCUUAUGAAUAAGGAUCGGCUAACUCCGUGCCAGCAGCCGCGGUAAUACGGAGGAUCCGAGCGUUAUCCGGAUUUAUUGGGUUUAAAGGGUGCGUAGGCGGCCUUUUAAGUCAGCGGUGAAAGUCUGUGGCUCAACCAUAGAAUUGCCGUUGAAACUGGGGGGCUUGAGUAUGUUUGAGGCAGGCGGAAUGCGUGGUGUAGCGGUGAAAUGCAUAGAUAUCACGCAGAACCCCGAUUGCGAAGGCAGCCUGCCAAGCCAUGACUGACGCUGAUGCACGAAAGCGUGGGGAUCAAACAGGAUUAGAUACCCGUGUAGUC
rnacentral:rRNA from 1 species